rnacentral:rRNA from 1 species
UACGUAGGGUGCAAGCGUUAAUCGGAAUUACUGGGCGUAAAGCGUGCGCAGGCGGCCAUGCAAGGCAGAUGUGAAAUCCCCGGGCUCAACCUGGGAACUGCAUUUGUGACUGCAUGGCUAGAGUGCGGCAGAGGGGGAUGGAAUUCCGCGUGUAGCAGUGAAAUGCGUAGAUAUGCGGAGGAACACCGAUGGCGAAGGCAAUCCCCUGGGCCUGCACUGACGCUCAUGCACGAAAGCGUGGGGAGCAAACAGG